GACGUGAUGGACGGAUGGGAAGACGACUUGUUCUGAGAUUAUACCGUUCAAACUUGAUCUGGAUAAUUCCAGCGAAAGGACUAGCUGCUUCUUGAUC
rnacentral:ncRNA from 1 species